rnacentral:lncRNA from 1 species
UAAGUGGUUAAGAACAGUGGACGAAUGUCUGAGUCCCAGCAUCCACACUAUGGCUCACAAUUGUCUGCAUAACCGGUUCUAGGGCACCUGGUGUCUUCUUCUGGCAUUCACGGGUACAGCAUGUAUGCGAUACAUAAUUACAAGCAAAAUACCCACGUGCAAAGAGUUAUUAUUAAACAUUGGCUCACCAGCUUGCCUGUCUGAAAGGCCUCUAAAGGCUGCAGCGCGAAGAGAUAGGAAGCUGUGUGGUACAUGCCUGAUAGACUUGUCUCUGGACUUAGAGACCACGCAGCUCUUCUCUGCAAGAUCCUGCCAUAUUCAAAGUCAGGGCCAUCUCUAGAAGCUUCCUCAUGUGGAACACCACAUAAGCUACCAUGUUCCACCUCUGUGUAAGCCACACACCAGAGAUUACCUAGUCCUCAAAAAUGACCAACUGAAGAGUUUUAAAUAUCGGGUAUUACUCUUUGAGGACAUGUUUUAGAAACUCAGGAAUAUGCUGGAAUCUCAUCGAACCUCAUUACAUUCAUGCUCCAGGAACUCAAGGUGGCUUGAAGGCACAUCAGGCAAGGGAAGGCAUGGAUGACCUGGAAAUGUGACUGUCAGGAAGGGUGGGAUCCAGGUGGUGCUCUGAGCUUCAGAUGGAGUUUAGUCACCUUCCCUAAGCAUUUACCCCACCACAGUAGCUGCUGUUAGCAACAGGCCUUUCUUCACGUGCAUCUGAGACCUCCCAAUAAGGCAAUGACUGCAUCUCAGCUCAUGGCCCCACAGGCUGGCAUGCUGUGAAGGGCAGGAGAGGGCUGUGUACCCAUGGGCAUGUGGGGAAGAGGAACCUUUGCUUGCUUCCCUGAAGGACAUGGUAUAUACUACAGAGCUUACACUAUGUCCCUUGAACUGGUGAUCCUCCUAUAAGCGUGUGCCACUGAACUUGGCCUCAUUAGCUUUGAUGUGCAUGUUCCUAAAGUCUAUCGAGUACCUUUGCAGGUGUUGUUUGGCCAUUUUAAUACUCUUUAGUGAAAUAUCCAGGGUUUUGCCUGGUUUUGAAUAGAGAUGUUGGGUUUUCCAUUGUUGAGUUUGGGAAUCUGGCUUCUCAUACAUUUUUUAAAAAUCUAGUUCUGGUUAUAUGGAUGGGCUUAAGUUUCUGAACACCCAUUAAAGAUGCAUCUUUAUGACUGAUAUGGACAAUGUGUGUGUAUAAUAUAAUAUAUGUGAAUCAUAUAUGUAAUAUCUCAAUAAAAGUUAAAAUGCUACAUUGUCAACAAGAACUAGGAUGAAGAGAAACAAAUACACAAUUUCAAAAGGACAGAGCAAUGAGGGUUUCUUGAGUGAACCCAAAUGCAGCCCUUGUUUCCACCCUCAGAGAGCUGAAUUUGCAGUUUAUCUUCACUUGCUGAUGCCAUUUGAGAUGUGAUUGGAAACUUCAGUAGAUGGGACCUAAGGUCACAGGGGGCUUCUGAAAGAUGUACCUGCUUCCUGGUCACCAUGAGCUUCAUGGCAUCACUAGUAGGAAGACGUGGUUGGAGCAGCUUGCUUCUCAGCUGAGGAAGCCUGUGGCUGGGCUCUUGACAUCUCAGCAGAUCUGCAGGCGAAGAUCUAGACUGAACUGGAGCAUCAUGACUGAAUGCUUAGCAAGAGAAAGACAUAGAAAGGAAGCAAGUGAGAAAGGAAGAAAAGAAAUCAUCUUUAUCAACACUCUACCAGAAGUCUUGGUGGUCUGAGAAGACUAUACAGCCACGGCCACUGCCCAGAAAGCUGCCAAGAUGUGGGAAUCCCCAGUGAGCAGAGACAGGGACAGAGGCACAUGGUAGCCUCUGCUCAUCUGCCUGUCCUGACCU